rnacentral:rRNA from 1 species
AACGAACGUUAGCGGCGCGCCUAACACAUGCAAGUCGCACGAGAAAGGGCUUCGGCCCCGGUAAAGUGGCGCACGGGUGAGUAACACGUGGGUAAUCUGCCCUCGAGCAGGGGAUAACAUUCCGAAAGGAGUGCUAAUACCGUAUAAGACCACGACCUCGAAAGAGGAUGCGGUCAAAGCUGGCCUCUAUACAUAAGCUAGCACUUGAGGAUGAGCCCGCGGCGCAUCAGGUAGUUGGUGAGGUAAUGGCUCACCAAGCCUAAGACGCGUAGCUGGUCUGAGAGGAGGAUCAGCCACACUGGAACUGAGACACGGUCCAGACUCCUACGGGAGGCAGCAGUGGGGAAUCUUGCGCAAUGGGCGAAAGCCUGACGCAGCGACGCCGCGUGAGUGAUGAAGGCCUUCGGGUUGUAAAGCUCUGUGGGGAGAGACGAAUAAGUGCAGCCUAAUACGUUGCAUGAUGACGGUAUCUCCUUAGCAAGCACCGGCUAACUCUGUGCCAGCCGCCGCAGUAACAC